UGAUUAUAAACUGCUAACCGCUUUAAAGUGAAAGUAGUUGAGUGUCAAGCCGAAUCAAAACAAAGCGAGUAAAUUUUCAGGGAAAAGUUAUCUUUAUUUUGAAAUCUUACGAAAAAUAGACAUAUUUAAAAAUGGUUACUGCCCUGGAACAGUUUAUCGUCAAAGUUAGAAAUCUAUCCUUCCCUGUUACGUUCGAAUCUCUUCAUGAAUUUGUGUCAAAGAGCACAACUUUAUUAAUGAAGAACAUCAAUAUUUUGGAUGAUGUUUUAGAAACAUUAGAUGUUCAGGAACAUUCCAUUGGAGUUUUAGCUGUCUUAACAGUGAAAUUCAACAUGCCAAAUAUACCAGAGUAUGAUGCUCAGUUCUUUAGAGUUCAAGAAUUCAUCAACAAUUGUAAUGGCGAACAAGUUCGAUUUGCACCUGAUAUGUUUGUGAGACUUUGUCAUCUAGUUACCAGUAGUUUAAUUGAAAGACAACAGUAUAUUAGAGGGAUACCUCUACUUAUCAAAGCAAUCCAGAAAAUUCAAUUAUUUCCUUCUCAGUUAACUACAAUACAUGCCUACCUAUGUCAACUUUGUCUGCUGUCUAAAUGCAUGAAGCCUGCUUUGCAAUUUUUGGACAUUGAUGUAACAGACAUCAAUAAAGAGAAGGGAACAUAUGACACUAAGAAUUUUCUCCUUUAUUAUUAUUAUGGUGGAAUGAUUUAUACAAGUCUGAAGAACUAUGAGCGUGCAUUGUAUUUCUAUGAAGUAGCAAUCACUACUCCAAGCAUGGCUGUAAGUCAUAUUAUGCUAGAAGCUUAUAAGAAAUACAUACUGGUGUCCUUAAUUUUGUAUGGAAGGAUUCCAAAUCUUCCCAAAUUCACAUCUCAAGUUGUAGGAAGAUUUAUUAAGCCUCUUAGUCAAGCUUAUCAUGAUCUUGCUGUAGCUUAUAGCUCUAAUAGCCCUAUUGAUGUGCGAGCUGCUAUUACCAAACAUAAUGAAGUGUUUGUCCGAGAUAAUAACAUGGGUCUUGUAAAGCAAUGUAUGUCCUUUUUAUACAAGAAAAAUAUUCAGAGACUAACAAAAACAUUUUUAACCCUUUCCCUAACUGAUAUGGCUAACAGAGUACAACUAUCUGGACCACAGGAAGCUGAAUUUUAUGUCUUAAAAAUGAUUGAAGAUGGUCAAAUAUUUGCAUCAAUAAACCAAAAAGAUGGUAUGGUUGUAUUCUUGGAUAAUCCUGAAAAAUAUAACUCUCCUGCAAUGUUCCAGCAUUUGGAAGAUGAGAUGAAGAAAUGCAUCUCAUUGGAUGAGAAGCUAAGACAAAUGGAUCAAGAAAUUACUAUUAACUCAAAAUACAUUCAAAAGACUCUGAAAAAAGAAGAUAUUAAAACUUCUAAUUUUCUACAUAUUUAUCUUGGUUUCUUGUUCCUUUCCACAAUAACAGCAGUUUUUUGCAACAUUUUAACAUGGUGCUGGAAAAAUUAUGGGUUCACUUGAUAUUUAAACUCUAAAGAGCUCAGAAAUGCGCGACACUUAUGAAGGUACGGUAAACAUUAGUUCUGAUGUUAACACGCAACCGUAAGAAUAACUAUGAUGUAGAGGAACCAUUCCAUGAUGUAAAACAGUAAUAGGAACACUGACUUCUUAAUUCACUCAUUCAAUCAUUUACAAUUUCUUUUUUAUUCAUCUCAUCACAAAUCAUUGUGUUCCGGCGAGACAGAACUCUGAUGAUAUAUUUCAAAAUUCUAACUUGUAAUUAAGUCCAUUCUUUGGCUGUAUGCAAAUAAAAUGUUUAAGACAAAGAAGAAAAA